UGCUGUGUAGGGAGAGCAGAUUGUGACAGUAUGAUAGCUGUGAAAUAAAAAGGGCAAUUGAAACUUUAUUAAAGCAAUUCUUCUUAUUUAUUAAAGCAAUUCAUAUUAUUUUAAUUGGUUAUGUAUUAAAACAUCUUUAUUUAUAUAGUUACUGAUGCAACAAAAUUAUGCAUAUGAAUAUCUUUGUACAAACAGAAUUACAUCAGAAAUUGAAAAAAUUGAUAAAUUUACAGAAAAAUGGUUACAUUUACAGAAGAAGGAAAUUCAUUUGGACUCACAUGCUGUAACACUGACUCCGAUACGAAGAUUUCUCAACGAAAAAAUUCAGCACCAAGAGAGGGGGAAAAAGAACACAAAGGCUCAGCUCACCGCUACCACCCCUGCGCUGACUCGGGAGGGGCGAAGAUGAACACACGCUGUCCUCCGAAGCAUGUGCCGUCAGUCACCCGCUUCUUUACACACUGCAAACUCACCGUGCAGCCGCCUCAGAGCUACAGGCAAGCCCGCAGGCGCCCGGCCAGACUACAGGGGUCGCUGGUGCGCGAUGAGCCGAGAACACCCUGGCCGACCUAACCCUCCCUCCCCCCGGGCGACGCUCGGCCACUUGAGCGCCGCCCCCUGGAAGCUCCCGUCCACGGUCGGCUGUGGAAUAGCCUGGACUCGAACUUGCGACGUCCAGGCUAUAGAGCGCAUCCUGCACUCUAGCGAGUGCUUUUACUGGAUGCGCCACUUGGGAGCCCCCCCAGCUUUGGAAUCUAAGCUAAAAUUGAUGAACAAAUGUCCGUUAUGUACCAGGUGUGGCAAAUCAAUUGGUAAUUUGUGUUAUGUGCCCAUGAACUAACACUUUACUUAACUGUAAUUACCUGUUAAACUCAGUCUAUUUAAAUUGAGGGAUUGAAGCUGUGUAUACAUACUGAUGAAGGCUGAAACAUGUUUGUGACUUUCCUUAUGGAUUAGAACUUUAUUCUGUUUGUUCUUCAGAAAAUUAAGCUGUGAAAUGAAGAUAAAUAAUGAAAAUUACUUUUUGAAUUAAUUAGUUUUUUAUCUGAUGAGUGCGGACCUUCGUAACGUUGCUUUGAACAGAGUUAAUGAAACAAAUGGCCUUUUUUACAUUCCCUGAACAGCCUCCAAUUACACUUUGUGUUUGCGCUUUUCCUGAACUGUCGGUGUAGAUUUUAUAGCCCAUUCCUCACUGUUUUUUCUUUCCACAAGCUAAUAAUACCAGAUCUUUCUCCCUGAUGUAUUAUUGUAGCUAAUAAAGUAUUGCUUUCC